AAAUCUUACACAGCUUUACAGUUCAAAUUUUUCUUUAAAAGAAGUGAGUUGUGUACAAGGAGGUUAAAUGCUUUAUAGAUAAGAAAAUAAAACUGCACCAGAACCAACUUAUUCAUCAUUAUUAUCUUCAUCUUCAUCUAAUUCUUCCUCCUCCUCUUCCUCUUCAUCCUCCUCCUCAUCUUCCUCCUCCUUCUUUUCUUGCUCUUUUCAGCCUUGACCACCCCCCUUUGCACUGCAUCAGGUUUUCCUUUAGCUCUGUAAGCAGCAAUAUCCUUCUUGUACUUCUCCUUCAGUUUGA
rnacentral:lncRNA from 1 species